GACGAACGCUGGCGGCGUGCUUAACACAUGCAAGUCGAACGGACAGGCCCUGCUAUUGUGGGGUGCUCGAGUGGCGAACGGGUGCGUAACACGUGAGUAACCUGCCCUUGACUUUGGGAUAACUUCAGGAAACUGGGGCUAAUACCGGAUAGGAGCUCCUGCUGCAUGGUGGGGGUUGGAAAGUUUCGGCGGUUGGGGAUGGACUCGCCGCUUAACAGCUUGUUGGUGGGGUAGUGGCUUACCAAGGCUUUGACGGGUAGCCGGCCUGAGAGGGUGACCGGCCACAUUGGGACUGAGAUACGGCCCAGACUGCUACGGGAGGCAGCAGUGGGGAAUAUUGCACAAUGGGCGGAAGCCCGAUGCAGCAACGCCGCGUGCGGGAUGACGGCCUUCGGGUUGUAAACCGCUUUCGCCUGUGAUGAAGCGUGAGUGACGGUAAUGGGUAAAGAAGCACCGGCUAACUACGUG
rnacentral:rRNA from 1 species